UUUAAUUCCAUAUAUAAAAUCGGCAUUCAAAGACAGUAUACAUAAUUCGUUUUAUCUUGCAGUUUAACUCUAGUUUGUACUCUAUAGAACAUUAUAAUAUUUUACAUAACAUUAUAAUAUUUUUAUUGUUCUCUACUUUGUCACUAUUUUUAGCUACAGAAUUCGUUGGUCCUAAACUGGCAUUUUUAGCUAAGUAAAACGUUUUCCAAAAAAGCCAUUCUUAUCAAGAAGUUAUUAUCAUUUUAGUUUCAAAACUUACAAAUAGUUGGAAAAUCUGAUGAUGAGAUUAUAGAAGAUGCGUUCAAUAUGUGUAAUGAAUGGGCCUAUCCCGACCAAAGUGUGGCACUAAAAAAUAUUUCAAUUUAUCAAUUUAGCUUGUACAUGGUAAAAGAAGACAAGGAAACUUUAAAAACCUUUAAAGAGUACGCAAUAAAUUUAGGGUUUGGAGAAUCAUUCGACCAAGCA